rnacentral:misc_RNA from 1 species
GCAAACUUGGUCAUUUAGAGGAAGUAAAAGUCGUAACAAGGUUUCCGUAGGUGAACCUGCGGAAGGAUCAUUACUGAGAAAGGACUUCGGUCCGAUCCUCUCACCCAAUAUCUAUAUUACCACUGUUGCUUCGGCAGGUCGUUGUAUGUCUUGCUUUCGAGCUUUGACAUGUACCAUUGGCUUAAAGCUGAUGUGAACUUGCCGAAGGAUAUUACAUUCAUAUUGAAAAAGUCAUCUGAUAAACUAUUAAAUUACCAAAACUUUCAACAAUGGAUCUCUUGGUUCUGGCAUCGAUGAAGAACGCAGC